AGUCCCGUGGUGUAGCGGUCAAGCAUACCGGCCUUUGGAGCCUGUGACAGGGGUUCGAAUCCUCUCGGGACUA
rnacentral:tRNA from 6 species